rnacentral:rRNA from 1 species
UGGGGAAUCUUGCACAAUGGGGGAAACCCUGAUGCAGCGACGCCGCGUGAGCGAUGAAGCCCUUCGGGGUGUAAAGCUCUUUCGACGGGAACGAUAAUGACGGUACCCGGAGAAGAAGCUGCGGCUAACUACGUGCCAGCAGCCGCGGUAAUACGUAGGCAGCAAGCGUUGUUCGGAGUUACUGGGCGUAAAGAGUGCGUAGGCGGUGCCCUAAGUCUGUUGUGAAAUCUCCCGGCUUAACUGGGAGGGUGCGGUGGAAACUGGGGUGCUCGAGUGUGGGAGAGGUUAGCGGAAUUCCUGGUGUAGCGGUGAAAUGCGUAGAUAUCAGGAGGAACACCGGUGGUGUAGACGGCUAACUGGACCACGACUGACGCUGAGGCACGAAAGCGUGGGUAGCAAACAGG